GCCGAACAAACUGUAAAAUAAUUCUGCCGCCAUGUGCCGCUGUCAAACCAAGCGUCAAAACUGUCUCUUUCUGGUACCUUUAAUGUAAAGGCAUCUCGCUUGCGCCUCCUUUCUCGCUCAUACAUCCGUGUUCAAUCGUCUCUCGUGUGCUCCAUUUAUAACCACACAAUCGUCGCCAUUUUCGUGUUCGCGUGUGAAAUUGUGUGGCUUGCAAGUUUUGUUUUGGUGUAAAUAAAUGAAUUUAGCUGGUAACGUGGGCGAAACGUAUACCGCCGAUACAGGAAUUAUCCGAAGUGGCAGUCGGUUUGUUGUUGUUUUGUUCCGGCGCUGUUCUUGGUUUAAAAUUGGAGUUAGUUGCUGUUCGUAAAGCGUCUCGUAUACUAAAAACAGGCCUGUGAAUCCACCUGAAAAGCAAUCUUACAUGAGCCGUUCACCGCCAAAGCUGCCCGGAAUAGUAUCCGCCCUAUAAGAAAUCUACGUGACACAGGUCCACCGAUUUACCUAUCCGUUAGAUAAUUUCUAUACGUCGAGAGGCGAGAGAUUUUUCCGAUUCUAGUUCAAUGCUGUCGCGACCCUGCAGAAAACCAGCGUGCCCUGAUAAGAACAGAUUUAGGAAGCAGCAGCAGAAUAAUACAGAAGUAUGGUUUCUAACAAAGUCGGAGAUGGAAACGUUAUCUGUGUUACUGGUGGAUACGAAGAGAACAAAACAUCUACAAUCGGUGAUCAUGUAUACGUUCAUGCAAUUUUUGACUUACAUCAGACGAAAAUCUAUUUUGAAUCGAGUGAGAAGUCAAACAUCUCCCUGGGGAUAGGCGGCUUCCGAUAAUAGACAACGGAGGCAACGAAUGUAAAUAAUUCCUCAACCAAUGCAAUCAAGGCUACAAGUGUGACCGUGAGUUUAUUCGUCACAGACAGAAUCCGCCGAAAAAUAGUCAGGGACAACACCUAUGACAGAGUGCUAAGAAUAUUCCUCUUAUCCGGAGCCACCCGACGGAUUUAAACACCUGCUUGUGAGGAAGGAACCAUCGUUCAAAAAAAGGUCAACAGAAAAAAAUUAUCUGGUCGUUUCUGGUCCUAAAGAACAGGGCUUGUUUAUCCAUUUUGACAUUUGGUUAAUUAUUUACUAGAGCUGAAGAUGUAAAUGUUGUUAAUCCCAGCUACGUGGUAGAAUUUUUCUAGCGAGCGAUGACUGACUGACCACUGGACUCCGUGCUCAUCCGUCGCAUUGAUGUUGUAUAGGCAAUAAAUCAAGCAAAGCUGAUCAUCGACGGAAAUCUCAUCGACAUGUGUUCCCUGUAUCUUCCAAUACUGUGAGCAUCAAGUUGAUGGGAUAUCACCGAAUCCUGUUGGUCUGAGUUUGCUUGAAUUGGAGUAGAAUUGCGAGUCGAUAAUGUUAGGCGGUAGAAAACCCGAUGUAGUAAACUUGACACAAAGGAAUCGUUGGCCAACCAACAAGCGAGAGCACCUGGAGUCGGUAUCGAAGCU